ensembl:lncRNA
ACCGCUGCAGUAUACUAGGUACAAAUUGUGGCCCAUUUGAUCAAGUGCACAUUCUCUUUAUGUGAAAAUACAAUGUUCUUAUUUAAUAAUAAUUAUUUUUGUUCAUCUUUGUAGAAUUGCACAGGGUUUACAUCUACGUCAAGUAGAUAUGCUUCAAGAUGGCACUGCGAAGAGAACAGCAAUGCUUUUCAUGAUGUCAAAGAAACUCAGAAGUGUUAGUGUAAAAAGCCUGAAGACGCACCGAAAGAAAAAGAGGCAGAGAGUUGGCGGUCUUAAGCAUGCAGAACAAUGUAAGUGCAUGUUUGUUUGUUUGUUUUUAUAUCAAUAUGUGAAUCAUAGUUUAAGAUAGAUAUACAGUAAGUAGUUGAGACAGUGUUGCCAACUUAGCAAUUUUGUUGCUAAAUUUAGCAACUUUUCAGAUUGCCCUAGCAACUUUUUUUCCCCCCCUAAAGCACCUAGCAACAAAUGUAGCAUUUUUUUUUUUGUUUAUUUGGGAAUUUUUUGCAAUUUUUGAUAAGUGACUCUGCUAUUUGCAAUUGUUCAAUUUAAUAAUAAUUUAAUAAUUGUUCAUUUAUGAUACACUUUGUUAGUAGCUUGUACCUGUGAUUGUUGAUCAGUUAGUACUCUGUAAGAAAAAUGGAAAAGAUACUAGUAAUUUUCCAGGACAUUGUCCAUUAUCACCCUGUAACAUGAAAACACGAUGCGUAAUUUAAAAUGCAGGUAAAAAAAUCAAUAUGGGAAAUUCUUUCAUAUUUACACAGUAGAUUGUGCCCUAAUUUUACAGACCUUUCUUAGAGUGUAGCACACUAACUACUAAUACUGCUUAAAGCAUAAUUGUUGGGAAGGUGUAGUAUUACUAGUUUACUAGCUAUUAAAAAAACUUAAAUUGUAAUCAUUCAAAAACGUGUCAGUGUUCAAUAAUUCAAUUAAUUUAAAAAUAAAGUCAUUUAUAUUUUAAUAUUAUUUUUUACAUAUUAUUUUACAAACAAAUCUAAAUUAACAUUAAAUUAAAAUAUAUAUAUAUAUAUAUAUAUAUAUAUAUUUUUUUUUUUUUUUUUUUUUUUGCUGAGAUUUGAUGUUGUGAGACAAUUUUGCGUCAUUAUUACGCAAUGACGUCAUCGCGCAAUGACAUCAUAACGUCAUUUAGCAACUUUUAGCAACAAAUCAACCUUCCUUUAGCAACUUUCUCUGAAAAUUUGUUGGCAACAGUUGAGAAGGACAUCACUUUCCUCAAAGUCGUCUAUCAAUUAAUACAACUCUAGUUUUUUUUUUUUUUUUUCAUUAUAAUGUCAUGACACUUUCCUGCAUUAUUCCCACCCCAAUCCCUUGAUGUCCUGUUUACAGUCUAAAGUCUAAAGUUGUCAAAUUUCUCUCAGCAAUUUCAAUAAUUGAUUAUGUUAAUAAGAUUCUUUUGUAAGGUGAGGUAGUUUCUAUGGAAAAGAUAACAGCAAAUAUGUUUCAACUGAUACAUACACCGGGGACAUUUUGCUCUCACUGACAUGUUAUUUGUUUUGUUAAACCUGAAGGUUUAUCUCAUACAUAAGUAGAAUAGAACAGAUAUAUGUGCUCUUAACACAAAUAAAUAAAUAAAUAUGAUAUGAUAAAUGUUUCAUUUAAUGGCAAAAAUGUAUCUCAGUAUUUUAUUACCUUUGUUCAGUAAGUUUUAUUAAAGAGUUAGUCCACCCAAAAUGGAAAUUCUGUUAUUAAUUGCUCACCUUAAUGUUGUUUUAAACCUAUAAGACAUUUAACACAUAUGUUAACACACAUGAAGACAUUUUAAUGAAAUCUGAGAAAUUUCUGUCCCUCCAUUGACAGUCCAUGGAACUACCACUUUCAAGAUAGUAACAACAUCUUUAAAAUCAUAAAAUAAUCCAUGUGACACCAGUGGUUUAACCUCAAUUUUAUGGAGCAACAUGAGUGAUUUGUUUGCAAAAAGAACAAUUUACCACUUUAUUUAC